rnacentral:rRNA from 1 species
UACGGAGGAUCCGAGCGUUAUCCGGAUUUAUUGGGUUUAAAGGGUGCGCAGGCGGGAGAUUAAGUCGGCGGUGAAAUUUUGCAGCUCAACUGUAAAAGUGCCUUCGAAACUGGUUUCCUUGAGUGUAGAUGAAGUAGGCGGAAUUCGUGGUGUAGCGGUGAAAUGCUUAGAUAUCACGAGGAACUCCGAUUGCGCAGGCAGCUUACUAAACUACUACUGACGCUCAGGCGCGAAGGCGUGGGGAUCAAACAGGAUUAGAUACCCCUGUAGU